rnacentral:rRNA from 1 species
CGGCAGGCCUAACACAUGCAAGUCGAACGGUAACAGGAAGAAGCUUGCUUCUUUGCUGACGAGUGGCGGACGGGUGAGUAAUGUCUGGGAAACUGCCUGAUGGAGGGGGAUAACUACUGGAAACGGUAGCUAAUACCGCAUAACGUCGCAAGACCAAAGAGGGGGACCUUCGGGCCUCUUGCCAUCGGAUGUGCCCAGAUGGGAUUAGCUAGUAGGUGGGGUAAAGGCUCACCUAGGCGACGAUCCCUAGCUGGUCUGAGAGGAUGACCAGCCACACUGGAACUGAGACACGGUCCAGACUCCUACGGGAGGCAGCAGUGGGGAAUAUUGCACAAUGGGCGCAAGCCUGAUGCAGCCAUGCCGCGUGUAUGAAGAAGGCCUUCGGGUUGUAAAGUACUUUCAGCGGGGAGGAAGGGAGUAAAGUUAAUACCUUUGCUCAUUGACGUUACCCGCAGAAGAAGCACCGGCUAACUCCGUGCCAGCA